CCUACGGGAGGCUGCAGUGAGGAAUAUUGGUCAAUGGGCGAGAGCCUGAACCAGCCAAGUCGCGUGAGGGAGUACUGCCCUAUGGGUUGUAAACCUCUUUUGUCGGGGAGCAAAAGCCGGACGUGUCCGGCUGUGAGAGUACCCGAAGAAAAAGCAUCGGCUAACUCCGUGCCAGCAGCCGCGGUAAUACGGAGGAUGCGAGCGUUAUCCGGAUUUAUUGGGGUUAAAGGGGGCGCAGGCGGAUUUUUAAGUCAGCGGUCAAAUCGUGGGGCUCAACCCCAUCCAGCCGUUGAAACUGGGGAUCUAGAGUGUGCGAGAGGUAUGCGGAAUGCGUGGUGUAGCGGUGAAAUGCAUAGAUAUCACGCAGAACCCCGAUUGCGAAGGCAGCAUACCGGUGCACAACUGACGCUCAAGCACGAAAGCGUGGGUAUCGAACAGGAUUAGAUACCCCAGUAGUC
rnacentral:rRNA from 1 species